UGAAGUUCAUCGAGUCCCCGACCUCCUUCUCCAACCCAAGCCGACUGGAGCCGCCUCCGACCUGACCCCGAGUCCCGACCUCACCCCGUGUUCCCCUGCCUCGCUCUCUGACCUCGAGUCCCCGAUUUCGUUCUCCAGACCCCGAUCUCGUUCUCCGCCUCCGAUCUGACUCAAUUCUUCUACACUAUUUAUCAUCAUCUGCACUCAGGGACGGAGACACUACAGAUCGAUUUUGGUUCCACCUUCCAGAGUUGCAGGCUCCAGCAAUCGAGCCAGCUCCCCUUUCAGUUCGCCUGAGCCACCUCCACUGCGAGUUUGCAUCUCUGCGACUACGUGAAGGAUUCAAUCCCUGAAUCUCAGGUAAACACCGUAAACUGCUGAUUAUGUUUGAUAAUUGGGAAUGGGUUGUCCAGAUUCUUGAUUCAUGAUGUUUGGUGUUUUGGGUGAGGUGUUAAAUUGAUUACCCAACAGUCCAAUACCCAGCUUCUGUCUGUCUGAUUGUCGCUGGAAAUGAAGAGGCAAAAUCUCCACAAGUUAAGUGGUGCUCUGGUGCUGGUGCCAUCGUAAAUCAUCUUCAUCAUCUUAGAAUGACGAUGGUGGCUGGGGACUACACAUCGAAGGACUUGCAGGGCUUUGGUUCCAGUUUUCUGUGAUGGGUAAUGCUCGAGCCAUUGGUGCGUUUCCGGUGCUUGUGUUAGUCCAGUUCUUUGUUAUUGCAGCAGAGGCAAACACUCAGGAAUAUGGUUAUAUGUAGAUUCUUAUGGAUGAGUGGAAUAUAAAACCUCCUAGUUGGGUGAGUGCCGAUCCUUGUGACGGCUGGGAAGGUAUUAAGUGCACCAAUUCACGCAACACUGCCUUGUAAGUUCUUGGUCUUCACCUUUUUAGUGCUCCUGGAAGUUGCUUGCUUCAUAUUUUAUGAGGAUAUUACCGGAAAAAUCUUAAAAACAGAAUGCUGCUUUGGCAUGGUAAGUUGCACUAGCCAAAUUUUAUGGAAUAUAGUGUUUUUCUGCAGUGAGAUGAGAAUGGCUAUAGUUCUUUUCAAUGUUAUUUUUCAAGGUACACAGAAAUCUAUUGAUAAAUGUAUCAGGAUUUAGGAUGCAGAAUCAUGACUAAUAGUAAUUAUCUUUUCCUCAGGUUCUCGGUUUACGAACUUUGUGGGAAUACUUAGCCAAGGACUAAGAAUAGCUCCUCCUGAAGCUCCAGCUACUGGUUAUAUGUAUAUGGAUAAACCUCCUAAGGGAAAGCACUCUACGAAGGGACUUGGCAAGAAAAAACCUGAGUCGGACUAUGUUAAUGGAGAGAUGAUGUCACUGUGCCCUGCGGCAAACCAGUGGAUUCACAUGUCAGGGCCUCUGAGCUGAUGUAUAAUGAGUAUAUUGUUUAUGAUACAGCUCAAGUUAAGAUGCAAUUUCUAUUGAAGGUGAAGUCCACUUGAGAUUAAGUAUCACUCUCCUGAAGAGGAAAUAACCUUUGGUCCUCCUGCUUGUUGGUUAUGGGACUAUUUAAGAAGAAGUGGAGCUUCUGGGUUUCUGCUACCCCUUUCUGGUGGAGCAGAUAGCUCGUCUGUGGCUGCCAUAGUUGGCUGCAUGUGUCAGCUUGUGGUAAAAGCUCCGACUCGACAAAAUCACGGGCAAAGGUUCUAGCAGAUGAAAUUGGCGCAUGGCAUCUUGAUAUCAGUAUAGAUGGUGUUAUUUCUGCACUUCUGACGCUGUUUCAAGCAGUGACAGGAAAACGACCACGAUAUAAGAUAGAUGGAGGAUCUAAUGCUGAGAACUUAGGUUUGCAAAACAUUCAAGCACGAAUCCGAAUGGUGCUGGCUUUUAUGUUUGCAUCACUUCUACCUUGGGUUCAUAACAAACCUGGGUUUUAUCUUGUUCUGGGUAGUUCCAAUGUGGAUGAAGGAUCGGAGAGGGUAUACCCAACAACAACUUGACGAGGUCCGCAUUGAAGUAGCCGACUACUUACAGACUCUGCUGUAGGUUCUGACCAGUUUCUUGAUUUUGAGUUAGGCUAGCUUUUAAUUAACUUUUUUGUAGCAAUUAUGAACAAACAUGAAUACUAAUUGCUAGGCUAGCCUUGUAGUAGGUGAAUUGUGGUUUUAUUUUGCCCAUUUUGUAAACUGUUAAGGAUGAUGAUUUCAGAUAUAAUACUCCAAUAUUCAAAUCACUCUUGUCAACUAUUGAA